GGUUAGCUCACCCUCGCGGGAUCACGACCCUUUGUCCCGGCCAUUGUAGCACGUGUGUCGCCCAGGGCAUAAGGGGCAUGAUGAAUUGACGUCAUCCUCACCUUCCUCCGGCUUAUCACCGGCAGUCUGUUCAGGGUUCCAAACUCAACGAUGGCAACUAAACACGAGGGUUGCGCUCCUUUGUCCCGGCCAUUGUAGCACGUGUGUCGCCCAGGGCAUAAGGGGCAUGAUGACUUGACGUCAUCA
rnacentral:lncRNA from 1 species